AGGACGAACGCUGGCGGCGUGCUUAACACAUGCAAGUCGAGCGGAAAGGCCCUUCGGGGUACUCGAGCGGCGAACGGGUGAGUAACACGUGAGUAAUCUGCCCCUAUGCUCUGGGAUAGCUCCGGGAAACCGGGAUUAAUACCAGAUACGACCACUUUAGACAUCUGUUGUGGUGGAAAGAAUUUUGGCUAGGGAUGAGCUCGCGGCCUAUCAGCUUGUUGGUGAGGUAACGGCUCACCAAGGCGACGACGGGUAGCCGGCCUGAGAGGGCGACCGGCCACACUGGGACUGAGACACGGCCCAGACUCCUACGGGAGGCAGCAGUGGGGAAUAUUGCGCAAUGGGCGAAAGCCUGACGCAGCGACGCCGCGUGGGGGAUGAAGGCCUUCGGGUUGUAAACCCUUUCAGCAGGGACGAAGCGAAGUGACGGUACCUGCAGAAGAAGCGCCGGCUAACUACGCGCCAGCAGCCGC
rnacentral:rRNA from 1 species